UGGGGUAGGUGAGAGUGCCUCCAUCAUUGUUCCCGUGAUCACAAAAUCAACCAUUAGUGUAAAUGAAACUUAUAAACUCUCCAAAUCAUGUUUAGAUGCUUAAUCCUCCUCUGAUUUCGAAAAUUAAAAAUUAGCUUAGAGCUAGCAAUGAGUUCAAAUAAAUAUUAGAGGAGUUUUGUAGCAUCGAAAACAUUUGUAAGUUGAAAGGAUUUCCAACUACAUUAAUUUUGGUUGCACCGGUAUCA
rnacentral:lncRNA from 1 species